rnacentral:rRNA from 1 species
CAUGCAUGUCUAAGUAUAAGCACUUAUACCGUGAAACUGCGAAUGGCUCAUUAAAUCAGUUAUCGUUUAUUUGAUAGUACCUUUACCUGGAUAACCGUGGUAAUUCUAGAGCUAAUACAUGCUAAAAACCCCGACUUCGGGAGGGGUGUAUUUAUUAGAUAAAAAACCAAUGCCCUUCGGGGCUCCUUGGUGAUUCAUAAUAACUUAACGAAUCGCAUGGCCUUGCGCCGGCGAUGGUUCAUUCAAAUUUCUGCCCUAUCAACUUUCGAUUGUAGGAUAGAGGCCUACAAUGGUCUUAACGGGUAACGGGGAAUUAGGGUUCUAUUCCGGAGAGGGAGCCUGAGAAACGGCUACCACAUCCAAGGAAGGCAGCAGGCGCGCAAAUUACCCAAUCCCGAUACGGGGAGGUAGUGACAAUAAAUACUGAUACGGGGCUCUUUCGGGUCUCGUAAUUGGAAUGAGUACAAUCUAAAUCCCUUAACGAGGAACAAUUGGAGGGCAAGUCUGGUGCCAGCAGCCGCGGUAAUUCCAGCUCCAAUAGCGUAUAUUAAAGUUGUUGCCGUUAAAAAGCUCGUAGUUGAACCUUGGCCCUGGCUGAUCUGUCCUCCUAAUCGAGCGCACGGAUUCGGUCGGGGCUUUCCUUCUGGGGAGCCCCAUGCCCUUCACUGGGUGUGGCGGGGAACCAGGACUUUUACCUUGAAAAAAUUAGAGUGUUCAAAGCAGGCCUUUGCUCGAAUACAUUAGCAUGGAAUAAUAGAAUAGGACAUCGGUUCUAUUUUGUUGGUUUCUAGGACCGCUGUAAUGAUUAAUAGGGACAGUCGGGGGCGUCAGUAUUCAAUUGUCAGAGGUGAAAUUCUUGGAUUUAUUGAAGACUAACUACUGCGAAAGCAUUCGCCAAGGAUGUUUUCAUUAAUCAGUGAACGAAAGUUAGGGGAUCGAAGACGAUCAGAUACCGUCGUAGUCUUAACCAUAAACUAUGCCGACUAGGGAUCGGACGGUGGUUUUUUAUGCCCCGUUCGGCACCUUACGAGAAAUCAAAGUUUUUGGGCUCGGGGGGGA